rnacentral:miRNA from 1 species
UGGAAUGUAAAGAAGUACGUUG